UUUAAAUACAACCAUAAGUUUCAUAUCUAAUUUUAAUCGUUCGUCUUAUUUGAAAUUCUUUUAUAAUUAGUAUUUUUAUUACUAUGAUAUGAUAAAACAUGAAUAAUAUUUUAUGCGUGACUUAUGUUUUUAAUUUUUUUAAAAAAGUUUUCAAAUAAGACGGAUGAUCAAAAUUAAGUACGGAAAAUCACCGCUACACUUAAA
rfam:Oryza sativa (indica cultivar-group) chromosome 3, whole genome shotgun sequence.